CGGGGCGUAGCGCAGCCCGGCAGCGCGCUUGCUUUGGGAGCAAGAAGUCCCGGGUUCGAAUCCCGGCGCCCCGA
rnacentral:tRNA from 2 species